rnacentral:rRNA from 1 species
AGGAUGAACGCUGGCGGUGUGCCUAAUACAUGCAAGUCGAACGAGACCUUCGGGUCUAGUGGCGGACGGGUGAGUAACACGUUGGUACCUACCCCGAAGUGGGGAAUAACUGCCCGAAAGGGUGGCUAAUACCGCAUAAUACCGCAAGGUUAAAGCAGUAAUGCGCUUCGGGAGGGGCCUGCGUCCCAUUAGCUUGUUGGUAGUGUAAUAGACUACCAAGGCGACGAUGGGUAGCUGGAUCGAGAGGUUGACCAGCCACACUGGGACUGAGAUACGGCCCAGACUCCUACGGGAGGCAGCAGUAAGGAAUCUUCCACAAUGGACGAAAGUCUGAUGGAGCAACGACCGCGUGCAGGAUGACGGUCUUCGGAUUGUAAACUGCUUUUAUAUGGGAAGAUUAUGACGGUACCAUAUGAAUAAGGACCGGCUAACUACGCGCCAGCAGCCGC